CUCAACCUCUCUCAAUAUUCGUCAUUGAGAGACAUCCCUAGUUCAAUUGGAAAUCUUUCUUCUCUCCAACACCUCAACCUUUCUCAAUGUUUGUCAUUGAGAGACAUCCCUAGCUCAGUUGGGAAUCUUUCUUCUCCCGAAUGCUUUAACCUCCUUAGUUCAGUUGGGAAUCUUUCUUCUCCCGAAUGCUUUAACCUCCUUAGCUCAAUUGGGAAUCUUUCUUCUCUUCGACACCUCAACCUCUCUCAAUGUUCGUCAUUGAGAGACAUCCCUAGUUCAAUUGGAAAUCUUUCUUCUCUCCAACACCUUAACCUUUCUCAAUGUUCGUCAUUGAGAGACAUCCCU
rnacentral:lncRNA from 1 species